GAUGAACGCUGGCGGCGUGCCUAAUACAUGCAAGUCGAGCGUACGGACGAGAAGCUUGCUUCUCUGAUGUUAGCGGCGGACGGGUGAGUAACACGUGGAUAACCUACCUAUAAGACUGGGAUAACUUCGGGAAACCGGAGCUAAUACCGGAUAAUGUUUUGAACCGCAUGGUUCAAAAGUGAAAGACGGUCUUGCUGUCACUUAUAGAUGGAUCCGCGCUGCAUUAGCUAGUUGGUAAGGUAACGGCUUACCAAGGCAACGAUGCAUAGCCGACCUGAGAGGGUGAUCGGCCACACUGGAACUGAGACACGGUCCAGACUCCUACGGGAGGCAGCAGUAGGGAAUCUUCCGCAAUGGGCGAAAGCCUGACGGAGCAACGCCGCGUGAGUGAUGAAGGUCUUCGGAUCGUAAAACUCUGUUAUUAGGGAAGAACAUAUGUGUAAGUAACUGUGCACAUCUUGACGGUACCUAAUCAGAAAGCCACGGCUAACUACGUGCCAGCAGCCGCGGUAAUACGUAGGUGGCAAGCGUUAUCCGGAAUUAUUGGGCGUAAAGCGCGCGUAGGCGGUUUUUUAAGUCUGAUGUGAAAGCCCACGGCUCAACCGUGGAGGGUCAUUGGAAACUGGAAAACUUGAGUGCAGAAGAGGAAAGUGGAAUUCCAUGUGUAGCGGUGAAAUGCGCAGAGAUAUGGAGGAACACCAGUGGCGAAGGCGUCUUUCUGGUCUGUAACUGACGCUGAUGUGCGAAAGCGUGGGGAUCGAACAGGAUUAGAUACCCUGGUAGUCCACGCCGUAAACGAUGAGUGCUAAGUGUUAGGGGGUUUCCGCCCCUUAGUGCUGCAGCUAACGCAUUAAGCACUCCGCCUGGGGAGUACGACCGCAAGGUUGAAACUCAAAGGAAUUGACGGGGACCCGCACAAGCGGUGGAGCAUGUGGUUUAAUUCGAAGCAACGCGAAGAACCUUACCAAAUCUUGACAUCCUUUGACAACUCUAGAGAUAGAGCCUUCCCCUUCGGGGGACAAAGUGACAGGUGGUGCAUGGUUGUCGUCAGCUCGUGUCGUGAGAUGUUGGGUUAAGUCCCGCAACGAGCGCAACCCUUAAGCUUAGUUGCCAUCAUUAAGUUGGGCACUCUAAGUUGACUGCCGGUGACAAACCGGAGGAAGGUGGGGAUGACGUCAAAUCAUCAUGCCCCUUAUGAUUUGGGCUACACACGUGCUACAAUGGACAAUACAAAGGGCAGCGAAACCGCGAGGUCAAGCAAAUCCCAUAAAGUUGUUCUCAGUUCGGAUUGUAGUCUGCAACUCGACUACAUGAAGCUGGAAUCGCUAGUAAUCGUAGAUCAGCAUGCUACGGUGAAUACGUUCCCGGGUCU
rnacentral:rRNA from 1 species